UACGUAGGGUGCAAGCGUUGUCCGGAAUUAUCGGGCGUAAAGAGCUCGUAGGCGGUCUGUUGCGUCGGCUGUGAAAACCCGGGGCUCAACCCCGGGCCUGCAUCCGAUACGGGCAGACUAGAGUUCGGCAGGGGAGACUGGAAUUCCUGGUGUAGCGGUGAAAUGCGCAGAUAUCAGGAGGAACACCAAUAGCGAAGGCAGCUCGCUGGGACGGUACUGACGCUAAGGCGCGAAAGCGUGGGGAGCGAACAGG
rnacentral:rRNA from 1 species